UCGCGGAAUCCAACAUGGCCGUCGCUGCUGUUCAUUCUUGUGGUAAUCCAGCUGUUGAGAUCGUAUAUAAAUAUUGCAAGCCUGACAAGAAUAAGCUUUGCAUGAAGCGCGAUAAGGGCGAUUCAAAUUGUCAGGAACCUUACAUCAAUCUAACGAAUGGAUUUACUGCAGAGGAAUAGCAACCACCAUUAAAGCGAUUGCCAGAAUCUCAGGAUGUAACUUGCUAGGACAAAAUAUUUUACAUGAAGCAGAAAUUGACCAAUGGUUGGAAUACUGUCUUACAAAAAUUGAUCCUUUCGGCAAAGAUAAGAGGGAGAUGAAGGAUAUUAUAAAUUUACUGGACUCAUAUUUAGUGGAUAAAGUAUUCUUUGUUGGCCAUUUCCUUACUGUGGUUGAUUUACUGCUGUUUUCAACAUUAUGCAUUGUUUAUCAUUUAUUGACACAUCAAGAAAAAGAACAGUAUAUCAAUGUCUCAAGAUGGUUUCAUGAAAUUCAGAAUAUUUCUUGCACUGCAGAUAAAUCAAGAACGAAAGUGCCAUUUCUACGUAAUUUGUUGUAUUGAGAAAUUAAAUCAAAUAAAUCUAAAAUUAUUCUUCUCUUGGUGAAAUUUAGAUUCACAACAAGUUUACAACUGUUCAUGAUAAAGCUUGUUCAUUAUCCAGGCUAAAAAAAGUAUAGAACUCCUAGCUUUUGUGUAAAAUGCCUAAACACACAGAUUAAAGGGAGCUAAUCUGUGCUUUGACUUUCCUAUCUUCAGUGCAAAAAAGCUACACACUCACAACAGAUUAGGACAUAGAU